AAUACCGCAUAACGUCUUCGGACCAAAGUGGGGGACCUUCGGGCCUCACGCCAUCGGAUGUGCCCAGAUGGGAUUAGCUAGUAGGUGGGGUAAUGGCUCACCUAGGCGACGAUCCCUAGCUGGUCUGAGAGGAUGACCAGCCACACUGGAACUGAGACACGGUCCAGACUCCUACGGGAGGCAGCAGUGGGGAAUAUUGCACAAUGGGCGCAAGCCUGAUGCAGCCAUGCCGCGUGUGUGAAGAAGGCCUUCGGGUUGUAAAGCACUUUCAGCGAGGAGGAAGGCAUAAAGGUUAAUAACCUUUGUGAUUGACGUUACUCGCAGAAGAAG
rnacentral:rRNA from 1 species